rnacentral:rRNA from 1 species
GACGAACGCUGGCGGCGUGCUUAACUCAUGCAAGUCGAACGGAAAGGCCCUGCUUUUGUGGGGUGCUCGAGUGGCGAACGGGUGAGUAACACGUGAGUAACCUGCCCUUGACUUUGGGAUAACUUCAGGAAACUGGGGCUAAUACCGGAUAGGAGCUCCUGCUGCAUGGUGGGGGUUGGAAAGUUUCGGCGGUUGGGGAUGGACUCGCGGCUUAUCAGCUUGUUGGUGGGGUAGUGGCUUACCAAGGCUUUGACGGGUAGCCGGCCUGAGAGGGUGACCGGCCACAUUGGGACUGAGAUACGGCCCAGACUCCUACGGGAGGCAGCAGUGGGGAAUAUUGCACAAUGGGCGGAAGCCUGAUGCAGCAACGCCGUGUGCGGGAUGACGGCCUUCGGGUUGUAAACCGCUUUCGCCUGUGACGAAGCGUGAGUGACGGUAAUGGGUAAAGAAGCACCGGCUAACUACGUG